rnacentral:rRNA from 1 species
UACAGAGGGUGCAAGCGUUGCUCGGAUUUACUGGGCGUAAAGCGUACGCAGCCGGUAAGAAAGGUCGGAUGUGAAAGCCCCGGGCUCAACCCGGGAACUGCAUCCGAAACCAUCUUGCUAGAGUAUGGGAGAGGGAAGCGGAAUUCCUGGUGUAGAGGUGAAAUUCGUAGAUAUCAGGAGGAACACCGGCGGCGAAGGCGGCUUCCUGGCCCAUUACUGACGUUCAGGUACGAAAGCGUGGGUAGCAAACAGG